CUCAUUCACAACAAACAUCAUCUCUCUAAAACAAUUCUCUACCAUCUUACUAAAUUUCUUCAACAUUUUUCCACACAAAUUUUUUUCUCAUCAAGUUGAUAUUCUAUACAUUUAGCUGUUUAUCGGUGGUGUUGAUGGGAGCAAUUCUUAAAGUGAGAUUGUAAUUGACACAAGUUGGAUGUACGAUAGAAGUCAUCAUGAAAAAAAAGGGCAAAGUAUGGGUGAUCGAAUUGAAAGUGAUGAAACAAAUCAAACAGAUGAACCGUAUCAGGAGGAUGAGAUGUCUAAUGUAGAUGGUGUGAUAGAAGUUGAGCCUUUUAGUCGCCUUUUUAAUGGAGAAGAAUUAGAAGAAGUGGUACCUGGGGAAGAAAAAGAAGAAGACGAAGACGAUUUUCAACAAGUAGAAGAAAAGGUAGAAGGGACCGUGACAAAUAAAGAUGAUGAAGCGGAUGAAGAUGAAGAUGAUUGGGAUGUAUAAUCCAUUUUAUUUUAUUUUGUUAUAAAUUUAAAUUGAAAUAUAUUUGUAAUAAUUAGUGACAAUAUUAACAUAACACUUCCUUUAAAAAAAUAUUAACAUAAGACUUUAAAAAAGAAAAGAAAAAGGGAUAUAUAAGCUGGCUGACCUAGUUGUUGAGUCGUGCGUGUGUUUGUGUGUUUCUGUUCUCUCCUCUCUUCCUCGCUGCCGCGGCUCCGCCGGUCGCUCUCUAUCAGUUUGUCGCCGCUGCUCCGCCGAUUGUCUCUCUAUCAGUUCGUCGCCGCCAUUGAUUCUCUCUCUCAGUUCUUAAUCACCUAAAGCCAUGGCGGCAGUUUUCAAUCAAACCGAUAUAGUUUUCAUUCUCAUGGAUUCGGGGGAAAAUCUGGAGUAUAAAAAUGCACAAGAAGAAACACCUUUAGAUUGUGCUCCAGCUACAUUGCAAUACAAAAUGAAAAUGAAGAUACAAGAAAGUGGAGCAGUGGACCAAAGGAUUUGAAUAGUCUAAUACUUUUAUUUAUAGUCUUCUUAUGUGGUGCCCCAAAGAAUCAAUGCAAAAAUCUUUCUGUGGAGGCUGGUGGAAAAGGUUCUCUGCCUAAAAAGAUGUUUAUGGGAAAGGCUGGUGGAAAAGGUUCUGUCAAGAAAGAUCUUGGUAGUGGGAGAUCAUCGGAAAAUCACUAUCGAAUUUGCCCGAAUAUUAUGAUAAUUAGUUUAUUUUGUUAGUUUUCUGGUUUAUACGAAUAUUAUUGAAAUAUUUAUGACUUUGUACGAAAACUAAUUAUCGAUUGUACGGAUAUUAUCAUGAUAUGUGUUGUUUAAUUAAUUUGUGUUUUAUUAAA